UAGUAAAGUACUCUGCGCAUGGU
rnacentral:miRNA from 1 species